AUUGAACGCUGGCGGCAUGCUUUACACAUGCAAGUCGAACGGUAACAGGCCUUCGGGCGCUGACGAGUGGCGAACGGGUGAGUAAUGCAUCGGAACGUGCCCAGUCGUGGGGGAUAACUAUCCGAAAGGAUAGCUAAUACCGCAUACGAUCUGCGGAUGAAAGCGGGGGACCUUCGGGCCUCGCGCGAUUGGAGCGGCCGAUGUCAGAUUAGGUAGUUGGUGGGGUAAAGGCUCACCAAGCCAACGAUCUGUAGCUGGUCUGAGAGGACGACCAGCCACACUGGGACUGAGACACGGCCCAGACUCCCACGGGAGGCAGCAGUGGGGAAUUUUGGACAAUGGGCGCAAGCCUGAUCCAGCAAUGCCGCGUGCAGGAAGAAGGCCUUCGGGCUGUAAACUGCUUUUGUACGGAACGAAACGGCUCUGGUUAAUACCCGGGGCUAAUGACGGUACCGUAAGAAUAAGCACCGGCUAACUACGUGCCAGCCGCCGCAGUAAGAC
rnacentral:rRNA from 1 species